rnacentral:lncRNA from 1 species
AAAUUUCUAUUCAAGUUUCUAAUAUUUUCCGCACACUUUCCCCGAACACAAAAGGCCUUAUUUUCAACAAAAAUGUCUGUUCAUUCACGUGACUUUUCUGAUUCAGUACAAGAGUUAUAUAGCUCUUACAUCAUAACUAACUUGCAGAAAAAUACAGAAGGGUAAAUAACAGAAUUGCAACAUAAUUGAACCACCGAUGCCUUUCACCAAGGUCUCUUGUCUAACCAACAAGGUCUUUUAUCCAAGCUGACUUUUUGUGUCGCUAGGCCGGGCUUGAGGGACUCCUCGGCUAAGUACCUGGUUGAACAAUUGGUUAUGAACACAUUGUAAAUGUCAUCAGCUAUCACCAACAGGAGUUUCAUUGCAGGAACAAAAGUUGUCAGCCUCGGUACAAUACUUAGGGGAUUUGUCUGACUUUAGAUGUUCUUACGAAGGUGGUUUGUUCAUGUAGAAUGCUAAAUCAUGGGACAUGAAGGAUUGAUGAUUGAUAUUUUUGGCUAAAUAAUGGUUAGAAGAGUUGAAGACCUUGAAAUUU